CCAACAGGGAUUGCCUCAGUAACGGCGAGUGAAGCGGCAACAGCUCAAAUUUGAAAUCUGGCCUCAUGGCCCGAGUUGUAAUUUGUAGAGGGUGUCUCGGGCGCGACGCCGGUCUAAGUUCCUUGGAACAGGACGUCACAGAGGGUGAGAAUCCCGUACGUGACCGGCCGUCAACCCCAUGUGAGACCCCUUCGACGAGUCGAGUUGUUUGGGAAUGCAGCUCUAAAUGGGUGGUAAAUUUCAUCUAAAGCUAAAUACCGGCCAGAGACCGAUAGCGCACAAGUAGAGUGAUCGAAAGAUGAAAAGCACUUUGGAAAGAGAGUUAAACAGUACGUGAAAUUGUUGAAAGGGAAGCGCUUGCAACCAGACUUGCCCGCGGGUGAUCAGCCGUCCUUCGGGGCGGUGCACUCUCCCGCGAUCAGGCCAGCAUCGGUUUCGGCGGCCAGAUAAAGACUUUCGGGAACGUGGCUCCCUCCGGGGAGUGUUAUAGCCCGUCGUGCCAUGUGGUCAGCCGGGACCGAGGACCGCGCUUCGGCUAGGAUGCUGGCGUAAUGGUUGUCAGCGACCCGUCUUGAAACACGGACCAAGGAGUCUAACAUCUAUGCGAGUGUUUGGGUGUCAAACCCAUGCGCGUAAUGAAAGUGAACGGAGGUGGGAACCCGUUACGGGGGCACCAUCGACCGAUCCUGAUGUCUUCGGAUGGAUUUGAGUACGAGCAUAGCUGUUGGGACCCGAAAGAUGGUGAACUAUGCGUGUGUAGGGUGAAGCCAGGGGAAACCCUGGUGGAGGCUCGCAGCGGUUCUGACGUGCAAAUCGAUCGUCAAACAUGCGUAUAGGGGCGAAAGACU
rnacentral:rRNA from 1 species